rnacentral:rRNA from 1 species
AACGCGAAGAACCUUACCUACCCUUGACAUGCCCGGAAUCCCGCAGAGAUGUGGGAGUGCCCGAAAGGGAGCCGGGGCACAGGUGCUGCAUGGCUGUCGUCAGCUCGUGUCGUGAGAUGUUGGGUUAAGUCCCGCAACGAGCGCAACCCUUGUCACUAGUUGCUACGAAAGGGCACUCUAGUGAGACUGCCGGUGACAAACCGGAGGAAGGUGGGGAUGACGUCAAGUCCUCAUGGCCCUUAUGGGUAGGGCCUCACACGUCAUACAAUGGCCGGUACAAAGGGCUGCCAACCCGCGAGGGGGAGCUAAUCCUGGAAAGCCGGUCGUAGUCCGGAUUGCAGUCUGCAACUCGACUGCAUGAAGUCGGAAUCGCUAGUAAUCGUGGAUCAGCAUGUCACGGUGAAUACGUUCCCGGGUCUUGUACACACGC